CGCGCGCUCUCGCCGGGCUCGAGCCGGCGGCAUCUCCCCUCCCUCCCCUCAGUCCCGCUCGGCAGCCGCGGCGGCAGCAGCAGCAGCAGGAGUAGCCGCCUGGGUAGCGGUGCCGCCGCCGUCUCAUCCUCCUCAUCGUUCUCUUUCCCCCCCCACCCCAUCCCACCCCAGCCAAACCCCGUGUCACGAUGCAGUUUAUGUUGCUUUUCAGUCGUCAGGGGAAACUGAGACUCCAGAAGUGGUAUGUCCCAUUAUCUGACAAAGAAAAGAAGAAAAUCACAAGGGAACUUGUUCAAACAGUAUUAGCCCGCAAACCGAAAAUGUGCAGCUUCCUGGAAUGGAGAGACCUGAAGAUUGUCUACAAAAGAUACGCAAGCCUCUAUUUCUGCUGUGCUAUUGAAGAUCAGGACAAUGAACUAAUAACUCUGGAAAUAAUUCAUCGCUAUGUAGAACUCCUUGACAAGUAUUUUGGCAGUGUAUGUGAACUUGAUAUCAUCUUCAAUUUUGAAAAAGCCUAUUUCAUUCUGGAUGAGUUCCUUUUGGGAGGGGAAGUUCAGGAGACUUCCAAGAAAAAUGUUCUCAAAGCCAUUGAACAGGCAGAUCUUUUGCAGGAGAGCCAGAAUGAAGACUGGGGAGGUUUGUCUGAGGAUAUCUUAUGAUUAAGAGACAAUCUAAGACAUUAGUCCUUUUGACCCCCAUCUAAAUGAUUGGAUGCUAAAGAAGCAGAGACCCCACGUAGUGUACUUGAAGAAAUUGGAUUGACAUAAAUCUUCACUUCAGCUGAUGACAUCUCAGUGUUUCAUACUGUAAAUGUUCACUCUCUUCAUUGUAAUGUUUAGCUAAUGGUGUAAGAUGCUGUUUGUCAGUAUUACUGUUUUGCUAAGCUGCUUCAUUCAGGCCUACAAGAAAAAUACUCUUUUGAAAAGGGAACAAGGAACUAAAGUCCAAAAAUCACAAAUGAAAGGGAAUUGGAUAUAAAUUGACUCAGUGUCUCCCUUCACUGCGUAUUUAUAGGAAGAUUGCAUUUGACUACGAUGAGCGUACUGUUUUUUAUAAGCAAACUUAACUUCAGGAAAUAAAUAUCAUUAUGACAUAGCAUAUCUAAAUGAAAAGAAACUACAUGGACAACUCCAAAUACAAAAUGUUAUGAUGUAGAAAUUGUGUUUAUGCAACCAAAGACUUCUGUUCAUCUGCAUUUUAGUCAACACUUGUGAUAAUUCUGCUUAUUUCAGUUGAUGCAUAAAGAUUGGAAAUACCUGUUUACUACUGAAUUUGUCAUUAUACCAAAGAAUCCUGUUGGGAUCUGCAUAUCAAACUGGUAAAAACUGUUAAGGUGACAGUGCUUUUUGCAAGAAAACUGUAAACUGAUUGAUUCACUAGAAAUGAAGGUGUAUUUAAGUGUAGCUACCUUGAGCAAAACUGUGCAAGUUACUCUACUAAAAAGGGAAUGCGUGUAGUAAAAAAAAAAAUCAUUCCAAAUAAGGAAAUUGGUUUUAGAUCUGAUAUUAGCUUACUGUUAAUGAAAACGCAAGGAAGGAGAUAGGCUUUCUCACUGUGUAGAGAGGUACAUAAUGCAAAUUGAAUACUUUUGAAGGUGGGGAAAAAAAAGGAGCUUUACAAAAGGGACUUUUUAUUAUUUUCUUUCAAACUACAAAUUGAUUUGUAUUUAUUGGUGUUUUAUAGUUAUGCUUUAAUCAGUGUAUGGGUACCUUUAAACCCCACCCCCCACUGUAAGUGUCAAUGUCAUUUUAACUCCUUUUCUUGACUUACACACGUGACACAACCCUUACGAGACUCCUGCGUGAUGUACAGUUUAACCGAGCAAUUUGCAGUGAGAGCUUUUAAAUAUUAGAUUUGUAUACUAGAUUUACUGCAAAUCCUGUAAAGUGAUACCGAGUAAUAUUUUGACACUUGUAGCAGACUUUUCAGUCAUUAGAAACUAAACCUCUUUCCCUUGAGGAAGUUUGAUUGGCGUGUGCUUUUUGAGUUCCGAGGAGGCAGUGGCCACGCUCUGGAGUAGCCAAGUUCUGCUGUGUCCCUGAGACGAUGGGGCUGCUCCCCUCCCUUCCCACCCCUCUAACUUCCCUCUGGGAGUCAAGGCUUUGGCUUGUUCACUUGAGUACCACGUAGUGCCACGUUUUCACAGCGCUCAGCUUCGGCGGCGUGGCUGGAAGCAGCCCUGUGCUGCCAGCAUAAGCAUUAACACAGCCAUCUGGGGAGCGAGACUGCGGGCUCCGCGCCAUCCAGGCUAAAUUUAACCCACUGGGAAAGACUCUGUGUUGCUGCCUGCAAGUCCCCUGAUCCAGAUCCCAGAAGGGCCAGCCAGGGCUGGGGUGGGUCUGAGGUCUGGUGGCAGUGCUGGGGGGCAGCACGUGAGUUUACGGUGUUAGAAUUUGGCUACUUGUGCCCUUUCUGGGAUUUAAGCAUAUCCCGUUGCUAGAGUUUUACAGAUUGCUAUUUUACCUAGGGCAGGGGAAACCAGUGGUGUGCAGGUCCCCAGCCUGCAGGGAUAGGGGAGGCUGAAGGGGCAGCAGAGUGGCCCUGGGUGUGAGUUUGAAGUGGUAAACUCACCUUAAUUUAAAAGUCAAACCCGAAGCAAUUUUCUAUGUAUUAAACAUGUUUUUAAAGUUUACACUGUCACUUGUAUGUGCUUGGCUGGAGUAAGCUUUGUUGUGAUUGUGACAAAUAAACUGUUUGACCUCUGUCUGUCACGUUGGUUUAGUUGUAAUAAAUGUCCAUUUUUACACCAUU